AUGGAGUUUUACAAAUUUGCAAUGCCUUUUUCUUUAAAGUCAGCAGUCAGGUAGCUUGAACGUAGCCUUUCUCGUGAACAUUUCAGGAGGUGACUUUCAAUGUAGCUGUCCUUCGUUUAGACAGGCCAAGCAGGGAUCUGAACUGAACCCUUCUGGGAUUUUGUCAGGAUUCUUUCAACAACCCUUAGACUACUUUCCUCAGUUCUAUUUCUGGCUCUCUGAAUUUGUGGAAAAUUGCUUAAAAUCAUCCCCUUUUGCUAAGCAUUUAAGCUGAUAACUAUUGAACUAUGAUCCAUUAUGUGUUAUUAUCACACCAGCUGUGCUUUGCUUGGCAAACAGCAACAGACCUGGUAUCAUGGCACACAUCCAGGUACAUCUAUCAGCAGUAUUGUCUAACAAUGCUCUUUAUAAAUGGCAAGAGCUGAAAUGGAACAAAAAAACCCAUAUUUUUCUUCAGCAUAUACAAACCCAGCUUCCCCUGUGAUGGAACACAGCUCCAUAUAGUUUAGAGCUUUCAUGGACAACAAUAUAUUUUAGUCAUCUUUUCUUAUGGUUAAUGAUGACAGAAUACUUUUUUUUCUUAGCUUUGUUCUCUGAUGGUUUCUUCCUCUGCUAUUUUUAUACUCCCAACUUGUUCUGCUUUCUCUUUAUCUCCCUUUCUGAUAUUUUUGCAAGAUUCUGUCCAUCUUUGUGUUAACUUUCUCGAUGACAAAGCCUCUAGCAGGGUUUUAGUCUGAGGGCUGUCUACUUCCUGAAGCAAUUACAAGCUUCAGCUUCUCAGCAGGCAAGCCCAAAGCUUGUCCACCAGGUCCUGGAGCCGGAGAAUAUUUUUCUUAUCCUCCUCAGACUGUGGGAAGUGAAAAUCACAUUGGCUUCAGAUCACAGAAGUGAUGCACAUAAGGGGGCAGAGGAUUUGAAUUACCUGUUUGAGGCCUGUCACGGAUAAGACUGAGAUCUCCUGGCUGAGCUGCAAUUGCCAGAUCCAAGUUUAUCCACAGGUGCCUCUUGAGCUCCUCAAUCUGUUGGGUGAAAGCCUGCUUGCCUCUUGACAGCUGAGAAAUCUGAGCAUCUUUCUCCUCCACCUGGCGUGAGUAUUCCCCUGAGGGAAGUCAGAUGAGUAAAGGAGCUUUUUUAUGACUUACUGAAAAGUGUCAACCUUGAUAAUUAAAUGCAUAUAAAAAUA